rnacentral:misc_RNA from 1 species
CAGAUAAAUUCAUCAUGCCCGAGGUAAUGAUGUAAUUUAACUUUUCUCCAAUGUUUCAUAAAAGAUAAAAAAAAUAGCACAUAUGCAUAGCUUUAGUAGGCAUAGAAGGUUAAUAUAGAUUUAUUCAUCAACCUAGAUUAUUUAAUGCCAGCCCCAUAACAAUACAUGAUUUUCAUAAGAAACUCGGUCACGUUGGAGGUAGACUUGUUUUCAAGUUCCAUGCUAGCAUUGCAAACAUGAAUUGAUUUGUUUCUAAGUUCUAAGAUAAUAUUUAACUUAUUUGAUUUUGUUACAAUCC